rnacentral:rRNA from 1 species
GAGUGAGUGGCGAACUGGUGAGUAACGCGUGGGAAACCUGCCCAGAAGCGGGGGAUAACACCUGGAAACAGAUGCUAAUACCGCAUAACAACUUGGACCGCAUGGUCCGAGUUUGAAAGAUGGCUUCGGCUAUCACUUUUGGAUGGUCCCGCGGCGUAUUAGCUAGAUGGUGGGGUAACGGCUCACCAUGGCAAUGAUACGUAGCCGACCUGAGAGGGUAAUCGGCCACAUUGGGACUGAGACACGGCCCAAACUCCUACGGGAGGCAGCAGUAGGGAAUCUUCCACAAUGGACGAAAGUCUGAUGGAGCAACGCCGCGUGAGUGAAGAAGGGUUUCGGCUCGUAAAACUCUGUUGUUAAAGAAGAACAUAUCUGAGAGUAACUGUUCAGGUAUUGACGGUAUUUAACCAGAAAGCCACGGCUAACUACGUGCCAGCAGCCGCGGUAAUACGUAGGUGGCAAGCGUUGUCCGGAUUUAUUGGGCGUAAAGCGAGCGCAGGCGGUUUUUUAAGUCUGAUGUGAAAGCCUUCGGCUCAACCGAAGAAGUGCAUCGGAAACUGGGAAACUUGAGUGCAGAAGAGGACAGUGGAACUCCAUGUGUAGCGGUGAAAUGCGUAGAUAUAUGGAAGAACACCAGUGGCGAAGGCGGCUGUCUGGUCUGUAACUGACGCUGAGGCUCGAAAGUAUGGGUAGCAAACAGGAUUAGAUACCCUGGUAGUCCAUACCGUAAACGAUGAAUGCUAAGUGUUGGAGGGUUUCCGCCCUUCAGUGCUGCAGCUAACGCAUUAAGCAUUCCGCCUGGGGAGUACGGCCGCAAGGCUGAAACUCAAAGGAAUUGACGGGGGCCCGCACAAGCGGUGGAGCAUGUGGUUUAAUUCGAAGCUACGCGAAGAACCUUACCAGGUCUUGACAUACUAUGCAAAUCUAAGAGAUUAGACGUUCCCUUCGGGGACAUGGAUACAGGUGGUGCAUGGUUGUCGUCAGCUCGUGUCGUGAGAUGUUGGGUUAAGUCCCGCAACGAGCGCAACCCUUAUUAUCAGUUGCCAGCAUUAAGUUGGGCACUCUGGUGAGACUGCCGGUGACAAACCGGAGGAAGGUGGGGAUGACGUCAAAUCAUCAUGCCCCUUAUGACCUGGGCUACACACGUGCUACAAUGGAUGGUACAACGAGUUGCGAACUCGCGAGAGUAAGCUAAUCUCUUAAAGCCAUUCUCAGUUCGGAUUGUAGGCUGCAACUCGCCUACAUGAAGUCGGAAUCGCUAGUAAUCGCGGAUCAGCAUGCCGCGGUGAAUACGUUCCCGGGCCUUGUACACACCGCCCGUCACAC